rnacentral:lncRNA from 1 species
GACACUCCUUGGCCCCGGCAGCUUCCUCGCUCUCAGAGGCUCUCUUGGGUUCCAGCCUUGGGCUUGGACACCAGGCAGAAGUGCUCCAGCAUGCAGGACACGGUGUGCGGCUGUCGCCAAGGCUAUUUCUGCGAGGCCGAGGACAGGGACCACUGUAUCAUGUGCUUGCCCCACACCAUCUGCCACCCUGGCCAGAGGGUACAGAGGAGAGGUACAGAUAGCCAGGACACAGUGUGUGCCAACUGCUCACUGGGGACCUUCUCGCCCAACGGGACCCUGGAGCAAUGCCUUCCCUGGACCACGUGCCGCGGACCUUUUGCCGUGGAAGCCGAGCGGGGGACCAGCAGCAGGGACGUCUCCUGCUCCCUGUCCCGGUGGUUCUAUGUCUUUGUGUCCGUCCUCCCCCUCUCCGUGGUGAUCGUCCUGAUGAUGUGGGUGAGGAGGAAAAGGCUAUCUGGCUCUGAGCCCAGCGAGAUGGCUGUGCUGCAGCCGCAAGUAGCGGAGGAAGCCGGUGAGUCUGCAGUCACCCAGGCUCCAAAAGUCACCACGGUGGCGGAGGAGGAGACAGCACCGGUGUUGAGGGCAGUGGGCCCCCAUCGAUGAGCCACAGGGUUGGGAACCGGGUGAUUCAACCUACCGGGAGCAGACGCAUACCUGGCAGGAGUGCGGCACCUGCCCUAGGCUAGCUCCAGCUGCAGGAGCAGGAGAGACAGGGCUCUGGCUCAGGGAGAUGUCACAGCGGUCCCCAUCGGUCAAAGGGGGUCCAGAGCCCCCCCAGCAGCCCUGGUGCAGCGUCCUGCAGAGGCCCAGCACCAUGAGGACACAGCGAGGCUGCCUCUGGCUCCAGCCCUCCCGAACCUCAGGCUGCUCAUUUGGAGGGUGUGUCUGUGGACGCUACCUCACGGGGCUGGGACUGCCAGGAGUGUGGCAUUAAGUGACUAUUCCAAUUUGGGGUGAUUUUGUAAGUGGUUUCUGUCCUCUCACUUUUGUCAUAAAGUACAUAUUCUGGUUAGAUGCCCACCACUGUGUGCAUCUCACUGACCACCGGACUCCCCUGCGGCACGCGGUGGCAGCAGCACCUCGUCAUGGCGGCACAGUUCCACUGUCCCAGCCUCCUGCUCUUCCCUCAGGGAGUGGCAGUGUUACCGCUGUUGACCGGUGACGAGUCCUUGCUUCCCCGAUGUUGAAGAAUAACACCAAAGAAGCACGCGAGGCAAGGUCAGAGUAGAGAUUAGAAGUUUAUUAAAGGACAGCAGAAAAGAAUUCUCCCGGAGGAAGAAGGGGACCCAGGAGGUGGAAUCCAGUUGGCGGGCAAUGUGUUCCCCUUUUUAUAGUUUUGGUGAUGGAAUGUACGUUGGAGGGCCCGAGGAGUGGGACCCAGGUGGACCUAAUUAUCACCUUUUGGGAUGGGAUUAUCACUUCUCUGGGAUGGGCCAUCUCCAAAUCUGUUGGGGGCUGUUCAUUAACACUUCUUCCAGGUGGACUUUGGCCUAGGGCCUUUCCGGAACUUCAUUAACAUUCCAUGAAUUGUGUGUUUUCCCUGAGCCAUUCCCAGCAUGGCCUCCAUCUUAGAUUUCACUCGAUAUUAGACCCGAUUUACCUAACUACACUGACUACCUAACUGUAAAACUGCUUCAGCAGGAGGGAUGGCAGGGUGUCUCUUCCCCUCUGCCCUGACACUGCUCACCUGCCCCUUGACUACAGUCUCUAGUUCUGCCCCCAGGGUUCAAGUCCCUGGCUCCAUCCAGAGCACUCCUUUGCCCAGUCCCCACCCCUCAGUGACAGCGUCCCUAAGUUCCCGCCCAGCAGGGCCUGGCCUCCAAAGAGCCCUGGUUGCUUCCUAAAGAACAGAGUGUCAGACCCACCCCAGGAGCCACAGUGACGGGCCAGCCAGCUUCCGGGUGUGGGGGGACAGACCUAGGAUCACUCCCCUGCACGUGUGCGGCAGAUACUGAUGUGUGCGUGCAGACCAGGAGCCAGGUGUGCGGGUGUGUGCGUGCGGGGGCACUGGGAGGUGUAAGCCCAGGUCCACUCGGGUCUCUGGCUCUGCUUGCUGUUAGGGUCUGUAAACUAGUCGGGAUGGCGCCUGGCAUUUUGCAGAGGGAGUGGUUUGUGAAGUCACGCCAGCGAGCCCUUAAGUGUGGAGAUUCCUGGUUGGCUGACUGCUGUAUCUCCUUUAUGUUAAUUAAGAUAAGCUGUGUGUAAUUAGUUAUGUAUAUAGACCCCUCCUGUCCUACAAUGAACAGCUCCCACUCCUGCUGUAUCAAUGUACACAAGUUGCUGGUCACCCCCCCGGUUAUUUUGCUGCAGCCGGACUGCGGCAGCUUGCGACUUGGCCGGCCCCUCUGCCUGUGCAGCUCCUGCUGAUGGACAGCUGGCUCCUCCAUGCCGAGCCCCUUGCAGGGCGACCCAGGCUCAGAGCUGCUGCCUGCCCGCAGGCUCAGGGAGCUCCGUGGCCUCCUUUCUGUAGCUCCAUGUUCAGCCCAGGUGUGCAGAGAGGGAUGUGGGCUGCUUUUUAUUUCCUCUCCCUUUUAUUUUUUUUUUUUGGAGUGGUCAUUUUUUUUCAUGUGAAAUAUAAUUUCCUUCAUUAUGCGAGUUUCAAUUCUGUUUUGCAGAAUUUAUACCCUAUUCUUGUUGAUUCUCUCUGUAUCUGUCUACCCAUUUUUUAAAUCUGUGGAACAUUAAUAAAGAGUUAAAUGUUAAUGUCAGUGGCCC